ACAAUGUCAAUCAAUUUAGAAGAAAUUGGUGGGGAGCCGAGAUACAAUUUAGGUCUCCACCCCUCUAGUUAUAGCAAAUCCGAUCCUGUUAGUUUUAGCGAACGCCUGAAUCCGCUUCAACAGCGCAAUAACAUCCUUCCCUAAUUCCCCCACGAAGAAAAGAAGAAAGAAAGAAAACCAUAGCCAAAUAGGUAAUAGACAUGCAACCUGCCCCAUCCUUCUCUAGCUUCCAAAAAUUGAAAUGAUCCCGACAAAACCAAUAAUUAUUGAUUCCGACAAAAGACAAUUGACACCCUAUCAUUUCAAUUUAUUUUUGUUAGCACUAAACAGUUAACAGUAUAAGAUAUUAAGAAAGGCAAGAACCACAUUGAAAUGAUAGGGUGCAAAAUCUCUUUUGUCUGGAUCAAUUUGUACUGGUUUCCGCCUCCACCAUUGCCGGUUUACUGUGGGAUGAUGUAAUAAUUUCUGCCGUUUAGCAUUAUUUCACCAUCGAUCCUACUCAUUUACACGCUAGUUGGUAGAAGUUUUGAAUAAGUAUUUAGUUGUGCAAUGGAUCCCUCUAUCAUGAAGCAACUCAAAGAGGAUGAGGCCCAAGCUAUGAGCGCGUACCAGCAUGUGAGAGGCCAGAUUAGCCACAUGUACCAUUUGGAGUUCAAAGGGUUCGAGGCAAGUGAGGCAAACCCAAGCCGGAGAUGGUAGACAGACUGCAGAGUUGUCAGAUGCGU